rnacentral:rRNA from 1 species
CCGCCGGCGACCGGCGCACGGGUGAGUAACGCGUAUGCAACCUGCCCGUUUCAGCGGGAUAACCCGGAGAAAUCCGGCCUAAUACCGCAUGUGGCCGAGGGGAGGCAUCUUCUUUCGGCCAAAGGAGGCGACUCCGGAGACGGAUGGGCAUGCGUGACAUUAGCUUGUUGGCGGGGUAACGGCCCACCAAGGCGACGAUGUCUAGGGGUUCUGAGAGGAAGGUCCCCCACACUGGUACUGAGACACGGACCAGACUCCUACGGAAGGCAGCAG